rnacentral:lncRNA from 1 species
AGCAAGUGGCUGUGGUCCCCUUCCACGGUGUGGGGGCUUUGUUCUUUCCCUCUUUGCAAUAAAUCUUGCUGCUGCUCACUCUUUGGGUCCACACUGUCUUUAUGAGCUGUAACAUUCACCGCGAAGGUUUGCAGCUUCACUCCUUAAGCCAGUGAAACCACUAACCCACCAAGAAGAAUGAACAAACAACUCCAGACGCGCGGCCUUAAGAGCUGUAACACUCACCGCGAAGGUCCGCAGCGUCUCUCCUGAGCUAGUGUGACCACGAACCAACCAGAAGGAACAAACUCCGAACACGCCGCCUUUAAGAACUGUAAUACUCACCGCGACGGCUUUUAAGAACUGUAACACUCACCGCGACGGUCGGCGGCUUCAUUCUUGAAGUCAGUCAGACCAAGAACCUACCAAUUCCGGACGCACUACCCGGGGGACAUGAUAAAUCUGGGAAGGGCACCUCAGGUUUUAUCUUCAUCAGCCUGGUCAAAGCUGGAUUUCCAUCACACAUGUGCUCACUCCACGGAACGUGCAAAAGGUCAAGACAUACAAACUCAGAGUUUUUAAAAUCAAGAAUUGAAAGUGGUCCACUAGCUUCUGUUCAUAGGACAUUGAGCCCCAGAUUUGGCACAUGACCGUCACCCACUCGGAACAUGAAGCACAGCUUGCCAUUUCGGACGGCAAUCACAGCAUGGCGGCUGAAAAUCAAAGUUUCUGCCCUUCUGUGAGCCUGAGCUGUUUUCAUGAAAAUGCAGCCUAACAUGACUGCAUUGAUGAUCAAACCCACAAUAUUCUGGAGAAUCAAAACCGUGAUGGCCAAAGGGCAUUCCUCUGUCAUCAUCCUCCCUCCAAACCCAAUGGUAACUUGAACUUCAAUGGAGAAGAGAAAAGCAGAAGUGAAAGACCUGUGAGGAAUGAUAUCAGAAAAGAACACCAUCAGGUCACAUUUUGAAUAAUGAAAUAUGCCAAGCUGAGCUUUUCAUUUUC